rnacentral:rRNA from 1 species
GACGAAUGCUGGCUGCGUGCUUAACACAUGCAAGUCGAACGGGGAAAGGGAGCUUGCUCCCUGGAUCAGUGGCGAACGGGUGAGUAACACGUGGGCAACCUGCCCCUCACUCUGGGAUAACUCCGGGAAACCGGGGCUAACACAGGAUACGACCUGGUACGACAUCGCACCGGGUGGAAAGAACUUCGGUGAGGGCUGGGCCCGCGGCCAAUCAGCUUGUUGGGGGGGUAACGGCCCACCAAGGCGACGACGGGUAGCCGGCCGGAGAGGGCGACCGGCCACAUUGGGACUGAUACACGGCCCAGACUCCUACGGGAGGCAGCAGUGGGGAAUAUUGCGCAAUGGGCGAAAGCCUGACGCAGCGACGCGGCGUGAGGGACGAAGGCCUUCGGGUUGUAAACCUCUUUCAGCGGGGACGAAGCGAAAGUGACGGUACCCGCAGAAGAAGCACCGGCUAACUACGUGCCAGCAGCCGCCGUAAUAC